rnacentral:rRNA from 1 species
GACGAACGCUGGCGGCGUGCCUAAUACAUGCAAGUCGAGCGGACAGAUGGGAGCUUGCUCCCUGAAGUCAGCGGCGGACGGGUGAGUAACGCGUGGGUAACCUGCCUGUAAGACUGGGAUAACUUCUGGGAACAUGUGCUAAUACCGUAGACGUUCUUUUCUCGCAUGAGCUACGAUCGAAAGAUAGUUCCGGCUCUAACUUACGUAUGGGCCCGCGGAGCAUUAGCUAGUUGGUGCGGUAAUGGCUCACCAAGGCAACGAUGCGUAGCCGACCUGCGAGGGCAAUCGGCCACACUAGGACUGGGACACGGCCACGACUCCUACGGGAGGCAGCAGUAGGGAAGCUUCCGCAAUGGACGAAAGUCUGACGGAGCAACGCCGCGUGAACGAUGAAGGCCUUCGGGUCGUAAAGUUCUGUUGUUAGGAGAGAACAAGUACCAGAGUAACUGCUGGUACCUUGACGGUACCUAACCAGAAAGCCACGGCUAACUACGUGCCAGCAGCCGCCGUAACAC